GUCUGUGUGCAUCGUAAAAAGCAAGGUAAAUUCUCUCCAUAUGUUCUCAUGAAUUUUUGGUGGUAGAAGAGGAAGCAGAAGCAGCACUAUGUGAGUGGAAGACACUAUGUGAGUGACCUAUGGGAUCUUUAGUGCAACAGAGCCAUCCACUUGAAACAAAACCCAAAACAACUGUUUUUAUGAACUUGCUUUAAUGAAUUCACCUGGCUAUCAACCCUCUAGAGUAGCCAGAUUUAUGGUUUUAAAUUUUCUCAUAGUAAGGUUAAAAAGGUAAAAAUAACAGGGGGAAUUAAUUUUAAUAAUGUUUUAUUGAACUCAAUAUACCCAACAUACUAUCAUUUCAACAUGAAAUGAAUAUAAUAAUGACUAAUGAGCUAGUGGGAGAAACAGGAUGCUGAGAAAAGCUAAAGACCAGAGGCAGCUUGAAAGAGAAGGAAAAAUCUAGAAAGAAGAAAGACAGGAGCAAAGGAGGACAAACAGAACUGAAGGAGGGAGAAGAAAAGAAUUCCUCCCCAGGCAUGGUGGAAUUCAGUUAUAAAUUCACACAGCAGAUAUUGGAAUGCUCCCAUGCAGGAUUAGGUGCUGCUGAUACAGAGAGGACAGACAGGGCUCUACAUUUAAGCUCAUAUUCUGGUGAGGAAAACAGACUCACCUACGCAAACAACAUUCUGGACAAGAGCAAACUUGAAAAGUGCUGACCCACUGGGGCUUGCCCUCUCUUGCUGUACCGUGGAACCCCUAGAACACUACAUGAAGAGGCCCUGGCUAGCCUACUGAGGAUAAGAAGACCAUAUGGAACAACGAUGCACCAUCUGUUGCCAAGGCCCCCACACCAGCCAGCAUGAUAACCACCUAUAUGUGAGGGAGGCCAUGCUAGACCAUGUGGCCCCAGCCAAGCUGCCAGCUGACUACAGAGACCAGCCAGGCCAGCCCAAACUAAAAGAACCACCUAGGUGACCUAUGGAAUUGUAAGACAUAAAUACGCUUAUUUUGCUAAGUCACUAGUAUUAGGUGAUUAGUUACACAGCAAAAUCUUACUAAUAUACAUAUCUUCAAAAAGUCUGUAAACUUCCAUCCCUAUAUCUCCAAAUUAAACCUUUUAAGACUAA